UUUUCCAGAGUCUUCUCCCAUAGCAGGUGAUUUUUUUUAGUGAUAGCUCCCAGACAAGCUUCUAGCAUCCUGAAGGCAGAGGUGUGUGUGCUCUGCAACCAGAACACCCCCAGAGCCUGGAGGCACCUGGCCCAGCAGCUAGCACGCAGUGGGUUUUUAUGUGUAUUAGUGAAUAAAUCAACGUGGUGGCCUUUGAGUUGAGCCUUAACAGACAAAAAAAGGAGUUAAGUAGGUGGCAAAGGGGAUGGCAUAUUUAUUAAUUACUUUGCUUAAUUUAAAUUAUGGAUUUUAAUAGCUAAUAUAGUUAUAUAGUUCAAAAACCAAAGCACUAUAAGACAGAUAUUAAGAAGGCUCACUUUCAUCCUUAUCUCCAUUUAUUCCUUUCCCUAUCUCAUCAUACCCCUCUCCUGCCCACUGCGAGUUACCAUUUUUAUUGAGAUUUAUAUAUUAUUGCAGUAUAUCUUGUGCAAAUAAAACUAUAAACAAAUAUAUUAUCUUACUUUCUCCCCUUUCCUCACAAAUGCUGGUAUACUCAAAAACUGUUCUGCUCUUUUUUUUUUUUUAACUCAACAAUAUAUCCUGGAGAUAUCUCCUGACAGUACAUUGAGAAAGAUCUUUUUCUUCCUACAGCUGCACUGUACUCCAUGGUAUGCUGCUGCUGCUGCUAAGUCACUUCAGUCGUGUCCGACUCUGUGCGACCCCAUAGAUGGCAGCCCACCAGGCUCCCCCGUUCCUGGGAUUCUCCAGGCAAAACUCCAUGGUAUAGAUGCACCCUAUUGGAAAGAGGUGUCUACUAAGUCCAAAACGAAUCGGAGGAGCCACAUCAGCUGGAUGCCAUUAAAGCCUCAAGAUUGUAUCUCAUCUUUCAAUCGUUCUUCUGACCACACAUAGAACAUUCAGCAAAAAGAUGUUUGCCAUGGAACCAUCAUCUGUUCCCCAGCUCUGCUGUAUCUGAUAGUGAAAUCAGCUUGCUUUGAUACUGAACGUGUUGGACGGAGAUAAUUAAUUCUCCGUCUGGAUAAGUAAGUCAUUAUUUCACCUCUUGUCCCUGCUUUAAUCAGCUCCUUCGAGCCAUCAAAUGCGCCUGCACACAGGAUCACGCACGCGCUCCCCGGGAGUUAUCAAAUCCCGUCUGCCCAAAGAAAUCAGCUUUACAGAUUUUAGAGGGGAUUUAAGACACUAAACGGUGUUCUUCAAUGAACAGUAAUGAGAUUCUACUAACAACUUGAUUUACAGACCAAAUGUGACAGAUGUGGCUAAUCUGGUUUGAUAAUAGUACACAUAAUAAAAUUCUAGUUUAAAAAUAGUGCCAGUUGAGAACCUUUCUUCCAUAUAAACAGUUCCGAAGUCUUUUAGUGGAGAAGAAACCCUAUUGUCUGAUUAUGCUGCAAUUGGUAUGAAAUAUUUCACUAAUGAAUUAAAAUUCCUGCAUUUUAAAACAUUUUGAGUGUUAGACUAAAAACAUUAAAAAAAAAAUUGGAAGCCUAGCAAAGACGGCAAGACUGACCUUAUUUUUAUAAUUCUCUGACUAUUGAGUUCAAGAACCUAGUAGCUAACACAGAGCUGGCCACUCAACAGAGAUCAGUUGGGCCAAAAUCUUUAAAUGUUUGUUCAGUUGAAAUGUCUGUUUUAUCUUUAGCCUGCCUUUUUAUCUGUGUGGAAUGUUCCUCUGGCAAAAGUAUUCUGACACAUAGAUGUUUCUUUUUUUUUCCUAAGUACUAAAUUACAUUGCUUUUGGAGUUUCAGACUUUGAAUGUACCCCAUGUGAUACAUUUGAAGUGGCAGAUGGAAAUUCUAAACUAUGUGAAAGAAAAAUUUAUUUCUCUUUCUCGUUUUCUGUUCAACCAUAAUAUUUUUUUUAUCAGUGCUGAGAUGAUAAAUUCUACUGAAGUAAAUAAAUUGCUCAAUGGAUAUUCUUAUGUGUUGCUGCCUUUAUUUUUCUUAUGACAUGCUGGAAUUCUUCUGUUGUGAAAAGGAAAGAAAAUUCAGUUUGGUGCCUGGUUCCUUUUCCUUGUCUUGAUUUUAGAAAUUAAUGAGAAUGCUCAUGAAACGGCAAAGAAAAUGAAAAAACCAACAAAAAUUUAGUGUAUUAGCAAACCUGACACCAAAGAAUGAAAAAGUAAAAAGGAAAGAAAACUCAGAAGGAUGCACCCUUUGCAUUAAAAUAUUGAUAAGAGCAUGUGAAAAGAAAGAAAAAAGAGAAGAUAGCAAAUGAACAGAAGGAGAGGAGUUAAAAGACACAGGCUUCCCUUGUGGCUCAGCUGGUAAAGAACCCGCCUGCAAUGUGGGAGACCUGGGUUCAAUCCCUGGGUUGGGAAGAUCCCCUGGAGAAGGGAAAGGCUACCCCCUCCAGUAUGCUGGCCUGGAGAAUUCAUGGACUGUAUAGUCCAUGUGGUCACAAAGAGUCAGACACGACUGAGCAACUUUCACUUCAUAUAGCCACAGCAAAGAUUGGGAGCCUUUUACUGUAAGAUUCCAUCCCUGGGUCAGGAAGUUCCCCUGCAGAAGGAAAUGACAGCCCACUCCAAUAUUCUCACCUGGAAAAUUACAUGCACAGAGGAGCCUGGUGGGCUACAGUCCAUGGGGUUGCAAAGAGUCAUACACUACUUAGCGACUGAAUAACAACAACUAUAGGGUUCAGAGCUCCUGGGCACG
rnacentral:lncRNA from 1 species